GACGAACGCUGGCGGCGUGCUUAACACAUGCAAGUCGAACGGAAAGGCCUCGUUCGGGGGGUACUCGAGUGGCGAACGGGUGAGUAACACGUGAGUAACCUGCCCUUGACUUUGGGAUAACUUCAGGAAACUGGGGGUAAUACAGGAUAGGAGAUCCUGCGGCAUGGUGGGGGUUGGAGAGUUUCGGCGGUGUGGGGUGGACUCGCGGCGUAUCAGCUUGUUGGUGGGGUAGUGGCUUACCCAGGCUUUGACGGGUAGCCGGCCUGGGAGGGUGAACCGCCACCAUGGGACUGGGAUACGGGCCAGACUCCCACGGGAGGGAAGCGGGGGGAAUAUUGCACAAUUGGUGGGAGCCUGAUGCAGCAACGCCGGGGGCGGGAUGACGGGCUUCGGGUUGGAAACCGCCUUCGCUCAUGACGAAGCUGUGUGUGACGGUAGUGGGUAAAGAAGCACCGGCUAACUACGUG
rnacentral:rRNA from 1 species